rnacentral:rRNA from 1 species
UACGUAGGCAGCGAGCGUUGUUCGGAGUUACUGGGCGUAAAGGGUGCGUAGGCGGUUGUUUAAGUUUGGUGUGAAAUCUCCCGGCUCAACUGGGAGGGUGCGCCGAAUACUGAAUGACUAGAGUGCGGGAGAGGAUAGUGGAAUUCCUGGUGUAGCGGUGAAAUGCGUAGAUAUCAGGAGGAACACCGGUGGUGUAGACGGCUAUCUGGACCGUAAC